CGCGAGAUAGAGUAACAGUAACUCAUCUGACUCAUAAUCAGAAGAUUGAAAGUGCAAUUCUUUCUCUCACAACCA
rnacentral:tRNA from 1 species